CAAGUCGACGGACCCUUCGGGGUUAGUGGCGGACGGGUGAGUAACGCGUGAGGAUCUGCCUACAGGUGGGGGACAACAGUUGGAAACGGCUGCUAAUACCCCAUGUGCCGUGAGGUGAAAGGUUAACUGCCUGUAGAUGAACUCGCGUCUGAUUAGCUAGUUGGUGGGGUAAUGGCCUACCAAGGCGACGAUCAGUAGCUGGUCUGAGAGGAUGAUCAGCCACACUGGGACUGAGACACGGCCCAGACUCCUACGGGAGGCAGCAGUGGGGAAUUUUCCGCAAUGGGCGAAAGCCUGACGGAGCAACGCCGCGUGCGGGAGGAAGGCCUUAGGGUUGUAAACCGCUUUUAUCAGGGAAGAACACAAUGACGGUACCUGAUGAAUAAGCCUCGGCUAAUUCCGUGCCAGCAGCCGCGGUAAUACGGGAGAGGCGAGCGUUAUCCGGAAUUAUUGGGCGUAAAGCGUCCGCAGGUGGCCAAUUAAGUCUGUCGUUAAAUCGUGGAGCUCAACUCCAUACAAGCGAUGGAAACUGAUUGGCUAGAGUACGGUAGGGGUAGCGGGAAUUCCAGGUGUAGCGGUGAAAUGCGUAGAUAUCUGGAAGAACACCAGCGACGAAAGUGCGCUACUGGGCCUGUACUGACACUCAUGGACGAAAGCCAGGGGAGCGAAAGGGAUUAGAUACCCCUGUAGUCCUGGCCGUAAACGAUGAACACUAGGUGUUGCGCGAAUCGACCCGUGCAGUGCCGUAGCCAACGCGUUAAGUGUUCCGCCUGGGGAGUACGCACGCAAGUGUGAAACUCAAAGGAAUUGACGG
rnacentral:rRNA from 1 species